GAAGGUCGAUUGGUAAAACAUAUUUCAACUCUCUCCUCUCUCUCUCUCUCGCUAGGGUUUUGUUUUUCAUCGAUUGCACGAAAAAUUCCCCAAUUGGUCGUAUCUAUUCGAUCGAAAUGGAAAAUGGUGGCGGAGAUUUGGAGGCGAAAAUUGGGAUGUUGCUGAAUGUGGAGAAGCAGAUGAGGCAAGUAGGUGAUGUUGCAGAUACGAGGAAGGCCGUCACACCUCUUGCAAUUCUUCUUGUUACACCUCAAACAAUGCCCCUCAUUUUCUCCCUCCAAGAAAGCGAAAGCCGGCGAAGGAGAGACGCCGCAGUUCCGUCCUCCCACCGCCAAAAUACCCUCACCCAACCCCACCAUCAAACCAUUUCCCUUCUCCUCUGUUCACUUCUCCGAGGAAAAAAGUUAAAGAAAGCAGGUGAAGUUCAUGGUGGUAUGGCCGACUCAAGGUUCGAAUGUGAGGAGACGCGGAUGCGGAUGUGGGUACAAAUCCAAGAAAGGAAAGCCCCCUGGUAAAAACCCUUAAACCACCGUUUUCUCCCCAUCAUCAAACCCCGCCCACACUCACAUGGUGAAACCCUCUCACCUUCAUUUCUUUUUUCUUGUGUUCAUUUCUCACCCAAAAAACAGAGUAAAGAAAACCAAGAAAAGCAGGGGGAGGGGGGGGGGAGACAGAGCGAGAAGGAGGCCUCAAAUUAUGGUUUGGGAUUACACUGGUUUUGGAUAUACAAGGUACAAUGCAGAGACAUUAACAAAGAAAUACUAGGGUGUUAGAGGCGUUUUUGGCUCCAGGAUCGGAAUUAUGGAUGCUCAACGAGGUUCCUGAAAAGGACCGAGAAAAGAAGUUAACAGAUGGUGGCCUUGACAUUUCAGGAUUGGUUAACUUAAAACUGGUCCAUCGUGAAGGGAAUGCAGUCAUUCGACGUCACUUGGAGAGUCUUCCACUAGAGACAUUUGAUUCUAACACAGCUUUCCAGCAGAAAAUAUAUCCUUCCAGAUUAAGCUCAAUGACCAUACAUUCAAGAUCCGCAUCAAGUCCUCAUGGAUCUUUAGCUAAAUUGGAACUUAGUGAUGGGAAUAGCUUGUACGCCAAAUUAGUGGUUGGAGCUGAUGGGUCCAAAUCACGAGUUAAGGAUUUAGCGGGAAUAAAUCCAACUGGAUGGAAAUAUUCUCAGAAUGCAAUUAUAUGUACUGUAGAGCAUAUGGAGGAAAACCAUUGUGCUUGGCAAUGUUUUCUCCCUAAUGGCCCUAUUGCACUUCUGCCAAUUGGGGACAAUUUCAGCAAUAUCGUCUGGACAAUGACCCCUGAAGAGUCAUUGAACCGCAAAUCCAUGUCAGAAGUUGAUUUUGUGAGAGAAAUAGAUCGUGCUCUUGACAAUGGCUAUGGCCCACAUCCAAAUUCUCAACUGUUUGGUGGCAGAGCUGCAUUCUCUUGGCUCACUGGAGACACAACAGUAUCCGCCAAUGAGUGUUUUGAAGUUCCUCCCAGAGUGACUAAAGUAGCAUCUGAAAGAAUGGUGUUUCCACUGUCUCUGAAUCACAUUAAAACGUGUUGUUCUUAUCGGUGAUGCUGCACACACUGUUCAUCCUUUGGCUGGUCAAGGAGUUAAUAUGGGAUUUGGAGAUGCAUUCUCUCUUUGAAAGGUUAUUGCUGAAGGCAUUGCAGUUGGAUCUGAUAUUGGGGAGGACGUGAACAUUUAUCUAAAUCAUGAGCGUUCCAUGGUUGCUUAAGUGUCAUUGCUAAGAGGAUAUGAAUCAGACAGGAGACCUGCAAACUUGACAAUGGUGGCAAUUCUGGAUGGCUUUCAGAAGGCAUAUUCCGUUGAUUUCAGACCACUCAAUGUACUGAAACGCUGCUGCAUUCCAAGGGGCUCAUUAUAUUUCACCAUUGAAAAGGCAAAUAAUCUCGUAUGCAUCUGGUAACCAAGCUUGUACACUCGUUUAAGGAAGGUUCGGAGGAAUGGUCCAAGAAGGCGGUAGAGCUUGAGGAGUCAUGAAGACUUUAGAAGUAAGUUCUAUUUGUAAUUUAUUUAUCCAACAAUGGCGAAUGAUGCACACUACACUAAUUCCUCUUCUGAACAUGCAGUUUGGUUGUGGAAUUUCAAAAUUAUCUGUUUUUCUUAUGUCCAUGCAUGCUGGACGCGAAUGGAAGGUGUAUGAGGUGGCAAAGACGGUCUUUGAAAACAAUUACACAGAAACUAGAAAGUCUUUGCAAAGUGAUAACGGUGGUAAAAGUUGAUCAUUUUCUUGGCUUUCACUCUUCAUUUCAUCCAUCAAGCAUUCCUUUAUAUGUUUGCAUUGUUUGCCUUGAGUUCUUGAUAUUUAUAAUCUACAUUAUGGGGUUGUGAUUUUCUUUUAAUCUAUGGCAAGUUUGUUCCUUUGAUAAAUAGUGUUGGAUGCUUUUUUAGUGGUUUCCAAUUACUUUAGUACUGUGGUGUGGGUGUUUCUCAUCUUGUUUAAUUUGGUUGUGCUUUUAUGUUAUCUCAUUCAAGUAAACGAUGUGUAUUGUUCUUUGUGGUAUAUCAAGCUCUGUGAGACAUUUUGUUGUCGGGAUGUCUGUAAUUGUUUAGCAUUUUAGGAUUAGACUCUUGGUUCAAUUGAAAUUACAUGAAACUUCUCAUAUUCUAAUUUUGAUUUGAACAGCCCAAUUCACCUUCCAAAUGAGAUAAAACCAUUUCAAAAGUAAAGAAUUCCAUGACAUAUAUGUAGUGUUAAUUAACACAUAGGAACCAGAGGGUAACUUUUUUUUAAAUUUUUAUUCAUCUUUUGUUAUCCUAUCAAACUACUUUUGUUUUGUUUUCUUUUGCCAGUUACUAUCAAACUACUUCUGUUUAUAUUCUUUUUUAGUAAUUUGACAAAUAAAUGUGAUUUAGGAAGUCAUAAGAUUGAGACAUGAAUGUGCACUAGUGUUAUGUGAUUGUUGCUUUGAUUAACUGUGGAGUCGUUGAGGCAUAAUUUCAUGCAUUUUGAAUUGCUUUGAAAGAGAGUUGGAAUAUCUUUGCUUCUACUAAAUCUUAGGAUUCUUGUGAGAUUAUAUUUGUUUGCUAAAACUCUACCCGAUUGAUCCUUAUAUCCCUAACAUGGGACAUGCAUCCAUUUUGAAAAAUUCAAAGGCCCUUCCCCUUCCAGAAAAAAAAGAAAGAAAGAAAGAAAAGUAAGAAAAAGGAAAUUACAUCUACUCCGCUGGUUUAGGUCACUUAGUAACUGGGUAACUUCAUCACAAAUGUUGUUAUUCACGUAAAACGGUGGCCGGAGCUAUGAGUAUGCAAAGCACUUUAGGUAAAACGUCUUUUGGUUGAGUAACCGGGUGCCUUCACCACAAGUGUUGUCAUUCGCGUCAAAAGACUGGAAAACGGCCUAAAGAACACAAGUCACGGGCAAAAACAAAAGAAAAAAAAGAAAAAAAAGCCGUGACUAAAGCAAAAGGGGAAGAAAAAAGAAAAAAAUUCAUUAGUGGCCAAAGAAAAGAAAGAAAAGCGAAAUCCGUCCCGACUAGGUCGAUGUAAGGAGAUAAAAGGGUAUUGUGCUAGCAUCGAGGAUGAUAACAUUUAGAAACCCAUAGAUUUUGUGGAAGCUUGAUUGCCCUCCUCUAUACUUGGCAAAACGAAGUGUUGUGAUGUGAUUGGCCUCUUACCCUCGUUAUGAGAAGUUAGCAUUUGCGUAAUGUAUUGCGGCAUUUGUGUUUUGAGAUUAUGUGCACAUAGUAUUUCAUUCUGUUGGAGGCAAUAACUUUAAAGACAUUGCGGCAGUCCUUUCUUUUCUUUAUUGAUUUAUUAAAAAAUUGUCACAUUUCUUUGUGCUGAAAUUUUUUUGUGUAAAAUCCUCUACUUUAGGCAUGCCUUUUCUUAUGUGACUACUAUUUUUGGUUGGGAGGAGGAGGAGAUAGAUUCUGGCCUUGUAUUUAUUGUAACAAUAUUUAAAUUCUAUAUUAUUAUAGUUUUCUUUAAUCUUAAUGAAUUAUUCCCUUUAGAUUGCCAUCCCAGCAGGGUGAGGGUGCAAGUUCAGUAUAUAGCAGUAGUGCAUCUUACAUGACCGCCCCUUAAAAGGAAAAUGUAUGUGCUUGCAUGUAAGAGUUAAAGAAGUCUACCAUGCUGCAUAUAGACAAGUAUUAUAAAUUUUUCACUUCUAAUCUGUACUUUACUGGCCCAUGAAUGCGGUGUAUCCAGGUAUGUGAGGUUGGGAAUCAUUGUUGACUAAUAUUGAAAAUAAAAUCAGAUUCCUUUUUUGUGUUCCAUGUUUCUUUUAAACUCUUUAAUGAAGUUCAUCAGAUAUCUUUUAGUUACAUUUGCUACACUUGAUGAGAACACCAGAUGAUGUCCCUGGAUGUGCUUCUUAGUGCUGGUGUUCCGUGGUGCAGGUGACUAUUUAUAUGCUAUCAUAUCAUAUUUAUCAUUUGUACCCUACAGUUUACAAUUGCUGGGGUCUUAUGCAGAACCCAUUUAGUUCAUUGGUAGUGCGAGCUAUUCUUUUGAGGGCCUAGGUGUGUUAGUGCUCUCCUGCAUUUAUCUUUUUAUGCUCUUGAAGUGUUGAAGGAGUAAAAUUCAAGUCCAUACUCGACAAUAGAUAUUGGGUGGUAUUGAGUUAUGAGCUCACAGCAAGGUGUUUUAAAUGAAAAAAAGAUUACAUCAUGAGAAGAAUAUAUGGAACAUAAGUACUGUAAAAAUCUUAGGUACCUUUGAGGACUUAGCAUUCUGCUAGGGAUUUUCUUAUCCAUUGAAAAUCAACACAUACAAUUAGUCACCAUCAUUUGUUAAUAUUAGGUCUGUGAACACUUUUUGUUGUUCUGCAUCUUUAGUGAUUUAAUCUUUGGUUGCAUUGUAAGUCACUCUCUUAAAUCAAUGUUUUUCUUGACUACUGGUGCAAAAAGCUCGAGAAUUUGUUGUCACUUCCCAAGAGCUUAUCACUCGGGGUUCAGUCCUGAAUAUUAUUGUGGAGAUGCUGCUGAUAUGGCUAA